rnacentral:rRNA from 1 species
GGAAUAUUGGUCAAUGGCCGGAAGGCUGAACCAGCCAAGUCGCGUGAGGGAAUAAGGCCCUACGGGUCGUAAACCUCUUUUGUCAGGGAGCAAGGCCGCCCACGUGUGGACGGAAGGAGAGUACCUGGAGAAAAAGCAUCGGCUAACUCCGUGCCAGCAGCCGCGGUAAUACGUAGGAUGCGAGCGUUAUCCGGAAUUACUGGGUGUAAAGGGAGCGCAGGCGGGACUGCAAGUUGGAUGUGAAAUGCCGCAGCUUAACUGCGGAGCUGCAUCCAAAACUGUAGUUCUUGAGUGGAGUAGAGGCAAGCGGAAUUCCGAGUGUAGCGGUGAAAUGCGUAGAUAUUCGGAGGAACACCAGUGGCGAAGGCGGCUUGCUGGGCUCUAACUGACGCUGAGGCUCGAAAGUGUGGGGAGCAAA